CGAGAUAUCAGGUCCGCUCCGC
rnacentral:siRNA from 1 species